UCUCACCACCCAAACUGUCAGCAAUCAAAUAGAACUGAAGAGUCUGGAUGUUACAGAGUACGGCAUAACCCACGAGAAGCCACGUUAAGUACGACUCACGUAGCCAACCCCGCUACAACAUGGGAGGGAAUCAAGGGGAGAAAUCAUUGAGGGUCAUCUUGGAGGCUGACUACCAUACCACCUCAGUCAAUUUCCACCACUCCCAACCCCUCGGCCUCUGAUGGAAAUCACUGCUCAGAUUUCUUUCGUCACAGACUCCACAUGCCUGUGCUAGAAUGUCAUAUAAAUAAAAACGGACACUCAGUACUC